rnacentral:rRNA from 1 species
UACGUAGGGUGCAAGCGUUGUCCGGAAUUAUUGGGCGUAAAGAGCUCGUAGGCGGUUCGUCGCGUCGGCUGUGAAAUCCCGAGGCUCAACCUCGGGUCUGCAGUCGAUACGGGCGGACUGGAGUUCGGCAGGGGAGACUGGAAUUCCUGGUGUAGCGGUGAAAUGCGCAGAUAUCAGGAGGAACACCGGUGGCGAAGGCGGGUCUCUGGGCCGAUACUGACGCUGAGAUACGAAAGCGUGGGGAGCAAACAGG